UACGUAGGUGGCAAGCGUUGUCCGGAAUUACUGGGUGUAAAGGGAGCGCAGGCGGGAAGCCAAGUCAACUGUGAAAACUACGGGCUUAACUUGUAGACUGCAGUUGAAACUGGUUUUCUUGAGUGAAGUAGAGGUUGGCGGAAUUCCGAGUGUAGCGGUGAAAUGCGUAGAUAUUCGGAGGAACACCGGUGGCGAAGGCGGCCAACUGGGCUUUAACUGACGCUGAGGCUCGAAAGUGUGGGGAGCAAACAGG
rnacentral:rRNA from 1 species